UGCUUAACUGAUCUUCUUCGGAAUUGACGUUUUGUAGACUGAGUGGCGGACGGGUGAGUAACGCGUGGGUAACCUGCCCCGUACAGGGGGAUAACAGUCAGAAAUGACUGCUAAUACCGCAUAAGACCACAGCACCGCAUGGUGCAGGGGUAAAAACUCCGGUGGUAUGAGAUGGACCCGCGUCUGAUUAGUUAGUUGGUGGGGUAACGGCCUACCAAGGCGACGAUCAGUAGCCGGCCUGAGAGGGCGACCGGCCACAUUGGGACUGAGACACGGCCCAAACUCC
rnacentral:rRNA from 1 species